CCUACGGGUGGCAGCAGUGGGGAAUAUUGGGCAAUGGAGGAAACUCUGACCCAGCAACGCCGCGUGAAUGAUGAAGGUCUUCGGAUUGUAAAGCUCUUUUCUAAGGGAAGUAGAAAGUGACGGUACCUUAUGAAUAAGCCUCGGCUAACUACGUGCCAGCAGCCGCGGUAAUACGUAGGAGGCAAGCGUUAUCCGGAGUGACUGGGCGUAAAGGGUGCGUAGGUGGUUUGAUAAGUUGGUAGCGUAACUCCGAGGCUCAACCUCGGAACUACUACCAAAACUGUCGGACUUGAGUGCAGGAGGGGUAGCUGGAAUUCCUGGUGUAGCGGUGGAAUGCGUAGAGAUUAUGAGGAACACCGAUGGCGAAGGCGGGUUACUAGACUGUAACUGACACUGAGGCACGAAAGCGUGGGGAGCAAACAGGAUUAGAUACCCGUGUAGUC
rnacentral:rRNA from 1 species